UACGUAGGUGGCAAGCGUUGUCCGGAUUUAUUGGGCGUAAAGAGCGUGUAGGCGGCCAGGUAGGUCUGGUGUGAAAACUGGAGGCUCAACCUCCAGACGUCGACAGAAACCGCUUGGCUAGAGUCCGGAAGAGGAGAAUGGAAUUCCUGGUGUAGCGGUGAAAUGCGUAGAUAUUGGGAGGAACACCAGUGGCGAAGGCGGCUCACUGGACCGGAACUGACGCUGAGGCGCGAAAGCGUGGGGAGCAAACAGG
rnacentral:rRNA from 1 species